UGGAUUACAUGGUGUGGGCUUGUCAGUUGUUAAUGCAUUGUCAGAGGCCCUAGAAGUUACCAUAUGGCGUGAUGGUAAAGAAUAUCAACAGAAAUAUUCACGGGGGAAGCCAGUAACAACUUUGAUAUGUCAGGAGCUCCCGGUGGAAAUUAAAGAUUGGCAAGGGACUUCCAUUCGGUUUUGGCCUGAUAAAGAAGUAUUCACAACUGAAAUACAAUUUGACUAUAAUACCAUAGCUGGGAGAAUUAGGGAGCUUGCUUUCCUCAAUCCCGAGCUCACUAUUGUUCUCAAGAAGGACGACAUAGAUCCGGAAAAGAUCCAACAUGCUGAGUACUUUUAUGCUGGAGGAUUGGUUGAAUAUGUGAAAUGGCUGAAUGCAGACAAAAAACCACUUCAUGAUGUGCUGGGAUUCAGAAAAGAAGCAGAUGGAAUCACAAUUGAUAUGGCUCUUCAA
rnacentral:misc_RNA from 1 species